rnacentral:rRNA from 1 species
AGAGUUUGAUCCUGGCUCAGGAUGAACGCUAGCGGCAGGCCUAACACAUGCAAGUCGAGGGGUAACAGGAGUAGCUUGCUACUUGCUGACGACCGGCGCACGGGUGCGUAACGCGUAUACAAUCUACCUUUUGCUGAGGGAUAGCCCAGAGAAAUUUGGAUUAAGACCUCAUAGUAUGUUAAGAUGGCAUCAUUUUAAAUUAAAGGUUACGGCAGAAGAUGAGUAUGCGUUCUAUUAGCUAGAUGGUGUGGUAACGGCACACCAUGGCAACGAUAGAUAGGGGCCCUGAGAGGGGGAUCCCCCACACUGGUACUGAGACACGGACCAGACUCCUACGGGAGGCAGCAGUGAGGAAUAUUGGGCAAUGGAGGCAACUCUGACCCAGCCAUGCCGCGUGCAGGAAGACUGCCCUAUGGGUUGUAAACUGCUUUUAUACAGGAAGAAACACUCCCUCGUAGGGAGCUUGACGGUACUGUAAGAAUAAGGAUCGGCUAACUCCGUGCCAGCAGCCGCGGUAAUACGGAGGAUCCAAGCGUUAUCCGGAAUCAUUGGGUUUAAAGGGUCCGUAGGUGGAUAAUUAAGUCAGAGGUGAAAUCCUGCAGCUCAACUGUAGAAUUGCCUUUGAUACUGGUUAUCUUGAGUUAUUAUGAAGUAGUUAGAAUAUGUAGUGUAGCGGUGAAAUGCAUAGAUAUUACAUAGAAUACCGAUUGCGAAGCAGAUUACUAAUAAUAUACUGACACUGAGGGACGAAAGCGUGGGGAGCGAACAGGAUUAGAUACCCUGGUAGUCCACGCCGUAAACGAUGGAUACUAGCUGUUCGAACUUCGGUUUGAGUGGCUAAGCGAAAGUGAUAAGUGUCCCACCUGGGGAGUACGGUCGCAAGAUUGAAACUCAAAGGAAUUGACGGGGGCCCGCACAAGCGGUGGAGCAUGUGGUUCAAUUCGAAGCAACGCGCAGAACCUUACCUGGACUAAAUGUAUUUUGACAGAUCUGGAAACAGAUUUUUCUUCGGACAAUUUACAAGGUGCUGCAUGGUUGUCGUCAGCUCGUGCUGUGAGGUGUCGGGUUAAGUCCCAUAACGAGCGCAACCCCUAUCUUUAGUUGCCAUCAU